UAAGAACAGGAUUCCUACAUGUAAGAUGCAUGUCCUAAAGAUGAUUUCUAUUGCGCAAAUAGGUAAGUAAAAUCCUAUAAACAUGUUUUCUACCCAUUCCCCUUGACCAAGCAUGCAUAACCCUCCCAAUUUCACAAUAAACCCUAUUAUUCUUUAGAAAUUUUUACAGACAAAGUAAUUUAAAAAUACAACAGUGAUAAAAAAAGAAUAAGCUAUUCUAUAGGGAGCCUACAACCAGGCCCAAGAUGUCCAAACUCACUUAUUUCGAGCCAUUAACAAGGCUUGGGUGCGGCAAAGUUCCCUAAGAGGUUCGUAUGAACCCCUGGCCAAUACCAAGCACCCAAAAUAUCAUAAUUAGACAAUUGCAAGUGUGCAAGUGCCAUCCUUGUGCAUCAAAGUUCAAAGGGUGCUCAAGGAUCCCAAAACACUGCUUACACUAAGGGGUCAUACGCUAAGGUUCUAUGAAUGAGAUUGUGAUUAUAAUUGAGAGAGUUUAAAAAUUUUGAGAGACGGUUUGAGAAAACAGUUGAAAGAAUUGGAAAAGUUGAGACAGUUUAAGAAAAUAGUUCAAAGAGUUGGAAAAGUUGAGACAGUUUAAGAAAAUAGUUGAAAGAGUUGAAAAAGUUCUUCUGAAAUCAUUUGGACUACAAGUUUUAGAAAAAAGAGCAUCACACAAAUGAGGGCAAGGGAAGGGAACAAAUAAGCAAAGUAAAAAACUCACACAGGCAACACAUUGUAAGAAAGUAACCAGACAUGGUUGCAAAAAAAGAGUUCAGUUCUUACUGUACCAAACUCUAAUACACUUAGCCUCAAAUAGAGGCAUUAGGUUAACCAAGUUGCCAAACAGACAUGGAUGCAUAGUAGUAGUACACAAGGAAAAAGUAAACAUUCAUUGAGACAGAGUAGGAGGUAAGGGAGCAUGUUAAGCUUAACCAAAUAUAGUAGUAAGUGACAUGCUAGUGACAAAAAGAUCAACAAAACCAUAAGUAAAGCACACAAGAAACAAUAUGAAAUGCAAAAUUAAUAGAAACUUAUGGAAACUAUGUUUUUGAAGGGAUGGCAUACCAGUUGUAAGUAAUAUACCACAAUGACAAUAGUGCACAGAGGAAAAAGGUGAGCAGAGAGUGUAAGAAGCAGAGAGAAUAACAAAAGUAUGAGAAUAGCAACAGCAACAGACCCAAAUAAACAAAAAAUAGAACCCAGUAGUGUAGAAGCAAUCAACCAGGCUACUCAAUCUUGGCUUUCAGCCAAUUGAGUGUUCAAUAAAAGAGAGUAAGAGAGUAUAGCAGAAAAAGAGAGAAUUCACAGAAUCUGAAGUUUUGAGAAAUAUGCAGUGUGUGUCGGUGUGUUCAAAGAGAAAGGUGAGGAGUAUGUAUAGUUUUGAAAAUAACAGAGAAUAGGGUAGGGAGUAUAUAAUUAUAGAAAUAGUACCAAAUUGAAUUAAUCAUAGGUCCUAAUUCAAGUUAAUCUGGGAUUAUUGAUUCGAAUGAGAAUACAUCUAUAUCAUAUAAGGGAAGAAUCAAUCAAACAACUAAUUACAUCAUAGUAAAGUAGUAGGCAUGUAGUAUGUAAUAGAGGCCAUACAUAAUACUCGAAUAAGGAAAACAUAUAUUUAAUAUUGUAAAAAAAUAUUUAAGAGCACAAAUAUGGUAAGAAUACCAAAUUAACUCUAAAAUUAGUCAAAGAAUCACGAACAAUACUAAAAAUCAGUGGGAAUCAGUGACAAUUAUAGAUAGCAUUUCACAAGCAAGGAAAUAAUUCAAGAAAUCAGUGCAAGAACCUUUAAGGAAAACACAUACAUAUUAGGGAUUCCAAGAGAUGCACAGAAACAUUCGAAUAACAAUUAGACCUAUAAACAAAAUAGGCAUGAAAAAUCAGAGAAAUUUGUGCAAGAAAUCAUAGAAGAAUAGAGGGUUGGAACCCUAGUUAAAAAGUUUAAAGCAUGGAACUCAGAAACAAACAUGCUCGUAACAAAACAAACAUAUAACACAUGCAUAUAUAAUACUGAAAGGAAGAAGAAGAUGUAGUGAUCUUGAAAAGGGGGUCAGAAACCGUAGAAAGAAAAAACAAAAGCAUGGAUCCAGGGUCACAAGAACACCAAACAAGCAAGUAAAACAAAUAAAUACAAACGAAUAUAUAGUACACAGAAAGAAUAGAAGAAACGAUUUGGAAGAAGGGGGUCAGAAACCCUAAUUUGAAAUAGUAGUAACCAUAUGAAAUUUGAAAUAACCGGAAAUAUUAAGUAAAAAUAGUGUAAAAAACAAAAUCAAACUGAGAGUUCUUUCAAAAGAGCAGAGAUUAAAGAGGUUCGAGCCGAAAAAUUAGGGUUUGAAAACAAAUUAGCGAAAACAAAGAACCUGGCCGUGAAGCUCAUAUAUAAUGCCAUAGAAGGUAUCAUCGGACAAAAACCGCUGGAGAAAAAGCCAGAAACAGGUUCAGGCAAAGCUUCAGUGACCGUCUUUCAUGGCGGAAACUUCUGUGCUUCAAGCUUUAGAGAGAAAAGAACGAUAUAAGGAUUCCAUGGCUACAAGAGGUCGAGAGAAGUGAGGGAGGAGUAUGGCUGGAGAGGUAAUGGACUACAUUGGAGAAGAAGAAACCAGAAGGUUCUAGAGAGAAGGGGGAGCAUUUGUUACAGAGAGAUAGAGAG
rnacentral:lncRNA from 1 species